rnacentral:misc_RNA from 1 species
AAAGUCGUAACAAGGUCUCCGUUGGUGAACCAGCGGAGGGAUCAUUACCGAGUUCUCCAAGACUCCCAAAACCCCCUGUGAACGCGUACCUCAGACGUUGCCUCGGCGGGCCCCGGCCCGCCGCAGGACCUCAAACUCUUGAAUCCGCCCGCGCGGCGCCUUCCUUUGAUUGUGAGCGAGCGAGAAUGAAUCAAAACUUUCAACAACGGAUCUCUUGGUUCUG